CAGUAGCCGCGGUAAUACGAAGGGUGCAAGCGUUACUCGGAAUUACUGGGCGUAAAGCGUGCGUAGGUGGUGGUUUAAGUCCGUUGUGAAAGCCCUGGGCUCAACCUGGGAAUUGCAGUGGAUACUGGGUCACUAGAGUGUGGUAGAGGAUAGUGGAAUUUCCGGUGUAGCAGUGAAAUGCGUAGAGAUCGGAAGGAACAUCUGUGGCGAAGGCGACUAUCUGGGCCAUUACUGACACUGAGGCACGAAAGCGUGGGGAGCAAACAGGAUUAGAUACCCCCGUAGUCCCUGUCUCUUAUAC
rnacentral:rRNA from 1 species